ACGUAGGGGGCAAGCGUUGUCCGGAAUUACUGGGCGUAAAGCGCACGCAGGCGGAUUAAUAAGUCAGUUGUAAAAUGCCCGGGCUCAACUCGUGUUUGGCGACUGAUACUGUUAGACUGGAGUAUUGGAGAGGGGAGUGGAAUUCCUGGUGUAGCGGUGAAAUGCGUAGAUAUCGGGAGGAACACCAGUGGCGAAGGCGGCUCCCUGGCACAAAACUGACGCUCAUGUGCGGAAGCUAGGGGAGCGAACGG
rnacentral:rRNA from 1 species